rnacentral:rRNA from 1 species
CCAGACUCCUACGGGAGGCAGCAGUGGGGGAUAUUGCACAAUGGGGGGAACCCUGAUGCAGCGACGCCGCGUGGGUGAAGGAGUAUUUCGGUAUGUAAAGCCCUAUCGGCAGGGAAGAAGCAAGACGGUACCUGACUAAGAAGCCCCGGCUAAAUACGUGCCAGCAGCCGCGGUAAUACGUAUGGAGCAAGCGUUAUCCGGAUUUACUGGGUGUAAAGGGGGCGCAGACGGCGAUGCAAGCCAGGAGUGAAAGCCCGGGGCCCAACUCCGGGACUGCUCUUGGAACUGCGUGGCUGGAGUGCAGGAGGGGCAGGCGGAAUUCCUGGUGUAGCGGUGAAAUGCGUAGAUAUCAGGAGGAACACCGGUGGCGAAGGCGGCCUGCUGGACUGCAACUGACGUUGAGGCCCGAAAGCGUGGGGAGCAAACAGGAUUAGAUACCCUCGUAC